CUAUACAUGACUCUGCGCAUAUCAAUAAGCGGAGGAAAAGAAACUAACAAGGAUUCCCCUAGUAACGGCGAGUGAAGCGGGAAGAGCUCAAAUUUGAAAUCUUAAAGGGUUUCCCUUUACGAAUUGUAGUUUAAAGAAGUGUUUUCUGUUGGAGUUUCGGUAAAAGUUCUUUGGAAUAGGACAUCAUAGAGGGUGAGAAUCCCGUAUUUGACCGUUACUUUCCAGCUGUGUGAUACACUUUCAAAGAGUCGGAUUGUUUGGGAAUGCAGUCCAAAAUGGGUGGUAAAUUUCAUCUAAAGCUAAAUAUUGGCGAGAGACCGAUAGCGAACAAGUACCGUGAGGGAAAGAUGAAAAGAACUUUGAAAAGAGAGUUAAACAGUACGUGAAAUUGUCAAAAGGGAAGCGCUUGACACCAGUGUUGUUUUCUCGAAAAUCAAUUAAAAAUGGUGGGAUGUUGUGUUGUAUUGACUUUAUCAGCUUUCUGCACUUUUUUUCCUAUCUUUUUUAAUGCACUUUUCGUUUAACAAGUCAACAUCAAUUUCUUUUGUUGUAAAAGAGUCAUUGGAAGGUGGCUUUCUUUUCGGGGAAAGUGUUUAUAGCCUUUGAUCUCUGCAACCGGAGAGACUGAGGUCUGCAGCGUAGACUCUUCGGGGAUAGAUACAUUUGUGCUAAGCUAUAGCUUUUUAUAGACAACUUGUUGACUAUAUUUAGUCUUGUGGCUUACUCGCUUAUGCUAUUUUACCUACGCUUAGGAUGUUGAAGAUAUGCGCGACACGGCUCUAUACAUGACUCUGCGCAUAUCAAUAAGCGGAGGAAAAGGAGGUAUACCUACGCUUAGGAUGUUGAAGAUAUGCGCGACACG
rnacentral:rRNA from 1 species